rnacentral:misc_RNA from 1 species
AGCAGAGCUUGCUGGAUCAGUCUGUCGACGACGCAAGGCACGCCGAGCUUUCUGACCCCGCCGUCCGGCUUGGGGAUUUCGACCCGCUUGACCGGCUGCGGCUGGUAGGUUCCCUUGAGCAAUCGAGACCGGAUGCUUGGCCAAUGCUCACGCAGGUAGUCCUUGGCGUCGUCGAUGGUCAUCCCAUCCACACCCGGACUGCCCUUGUUGCUUCGAACGCGUUUCCACGCUGUUUUAAGGUUCUCUCGAUCGCACGCCUUCUCCAUCAAUUGUUCCGUCCAAGCCGGGCUUUCGGGCGCUGUCUCCGCCACGAGCGGUUCGGCCCCUUCGCAACCGCCGACAGGGGCUUCACCCCAGUCCGUCGGUUCCAGGGCCAGUGAGUACUGGGUCUUCUGCCGCUUUCCACUCAUGAGUUGCCAGUCCUGCUUGCCACUUCCAAUCGUUCGGGCCUUCGGUCAUCGUUCCCGGCUCGGCCUAUCCGUUGCUCCGCCUUUCGGCCUUGGAGUGCCUCACUAGCCUUGUCGACAGCAUCACCUACUACGCCGUCUGCUGACUCCUGCGUCACGGUCAGGUCACCUUGCGGUUCCCUCAGUUCCAAAUUUCGGAACAUGACGCAGGCCUCCCCAGGUAAGUUCAAUCGCCUUCCCCGCGCACCUGCCGGAUCUACAUCCCUGCCCUUGAUGGAUAUGGACUUCGCGACUCGUUGCCCGCUCGUCCGGCCAGGGGUGCCUCAUAUCCAGUUUCUGUUCGUCAGGUCGCGGUUUUGCUCCACGCUUCCUUCAGACACCACCUCGCGGUAAUGCCCUUGCGCUUUGCUAAGCCUUCACCUCCAUCAGGUUGGCUAAGGGACUUUCACCCCCAAGCGGUUGAACAUGCUGGGCACACAACGAAGCCGCUGACGACGCGGCAGAUGGCGGAUGGGUUUGCGGGUGAGGCUCCUGUUUUGAAGGAUUGCGGCUGUUGAAGCGCAAUCUUUGGAACAGGAGCAAUGAGAUGGCCGAGUUGAGCCCUCUUCGUCGGCGCAUGAUCGAUGACAUGACGAUCCGCAAUCUGUCGCCGGCCACGCAACGAUCCUAUGUGCACGCGGUGG